AUAACCCUGCUGUGUGCGUGAAAGGCCGUUGUUUUGAUCCAACACAGAUACUUUGGGAGUCCGGGCUCUGGCUAUGGCGUGUAAGCCCUGUGAACUAGGGGACACAUAAAGUAGACGGGAGGACACCCACCUGCCGAGGGCAGGUUCAAAACACCGGUAAACGGCAUGGUGGGGCUUAU
rnacentral:other from 1 species